rnacentral:rRNA from 1 species
AGGUAUACGUGUUCAGCAGCCGCGGUAAACACAGCCCCCCGAUGGUGGGAUGUUUAAUUUGGCCUAAAACGUCCGUAGCCAGCUAGGUAAAUCUCUCGUUAAAUGCCAGGCGUCCUAAGCGUUGGCUGCGAGAGAGACUGGCCAAGCUAGAGGGUCGGGAGAGGUCAGCGGUAUUUCUGGGGUAGGGGCGAAAUCCAUUGAUCCCAGGAGGACCACCAGUGGCGAAGGCUGCUGACUAGAACACGCCUGACGGUGAGGGACGAAAGCUGGGGUAGCGAAUCGGAUUAGAUACCCGAGUAGUCCCAGCCGUAAACGAUGCAGGCUAGGUGUUGGGUUGGCCACGUGCCGACUCAGUGCCACAGGGAAGCCAUUAAGCCUGCUGCCUGGGGAGUACGGUCGCAAGGCUGAAACUUAAAGGAAUUGGCGGGAGAGCACCACCAGGCGUGAAGCCUGCGGUUUAAUUGGAGUCAACGCCGGGAACCUUACCGGGAGCGACAGCAGAGUGAAAGCCAGGUUGAAGGUCUUGCUGGACGAGCUGAGAGGAGGUGCAUGGCCGUCGCCAGUUCGUGCCGUGAGGUGUCCUCUUAAGUGAGGUAACGAACGAGACCCGCGCCCCAUGUUGCCAUCAAAUCCUAUAGGGAUGUUGGGCACUCUUGGGGGGACCGCAGCCGAUAAGGCUGAGGAAGGUGCGGGCAACGGCAGGUCAGUAUGCCCCGAAUCUCCCGGGCCACACGCGGGCUGCAAUGGUAUGGACAGAGGGCUGCGACCCCGAGAGGGGGAGCCAAUCCCUAAACCGUACCUCAGUUGGGAUCGAGGGCUGCAACCCGCCCUCGUGAACAUGGAAUGCCUAGUAACCGCCGGUCAUCAUCCGGCGGUGAAUACGUCCCUGCUCU